UGGGGAAUUUUGGACAAUGGGCGAAAGCCUGAUCCAGCAAUGCCGCGUGUGUGAAGAAGGCCUUCGGGUUGUAAAGCACUUUUGUCCGGAAAGAAAUCCUCUGGGUUAAUACCUCGGGGGGAUGACGGUACCGGAAGAAUAAGCACCGGCUAACUACGUGCCAGCAGCCGCGGUAAUACGUAGGGUGCAAGCGUUAAUCGGAAUUACUGGGCGUAAAGCGUGCGCAGGCGGUUUUGUAAGACGGAUGUGAAAUCCCCCGGGCUUAACCUGGGAACUGCAUUCGUGACUGCAAGGCUAGAGUAUGGCAGAGGGGGGUAGAAUUCCACGUGUAGCAGUGAAAUGCGUAGAGAUGUGGAGGAAUACCGAUGGCGAAGGCAGCCCCCUGGGCCAAUACUGACGCUCAUGCACGAAAGCGUGGGGAGCAAACAGGAUUAGAUACCCUGGUAGUCCACGCCCUAAACGAUGUCAACUAGUUGUUGGGGAUUCAUUUCCUUAGUAACGUAGCUAACGCGUGAAGUUGACCGCCUGGGGAGUACGGUCGCAAGAUUAAAACUCAAAUGAAUUGACGGGGUCAUAGCUGUUUCCU
rnacentral:rRNA from 1 species